AUUGAACGCUGGCGGCAUGCUUUACACAUGCAAGUCGAACGGUAACAGGCCGCAAGGUGCUGACGAGUGGCGAACGGGUGAGUAAUGCAUCGGAACGUGCCCAGUCGUGGGGGAUAACGCAGCGAAAGCUGCGCUAAUACCGCAUACGAUCUAUGGAUGAAAGCGGGGGACCGUAAGGCCCCGCGCGAUUGGAGCGGCGGAUGUCAGAGUAGGUAGUUGGUGGGGUAAAGGCUCACCAAGCCGACGAUCUGUAGCUGGUCUGAGAGGACGACCAGCCACACUGGGACUGAGACACGGCCCAGACUCCUACGGGAGGCAGCAGUGGGGAAUUUUGGACAAUGGGCGCAAGCCUGAUCCAGCAAUGCCGCGUGCAGGAAGAAGGCCUUCGGGUUGUAAACUGCUUUUGUACGGAACGAAAAGGCUCUGGAUAAUACCUGGGGCUCAUGACGGUACCGUAAGAAUAAGCACCGGCUAACUACGUGCCAGCAGCCGCCGUAAUAC
rnacentral:rRNA from 1 species